rnacentral:rRNA from 1 species
AUUGAACGCUGGCGGCAGGCCUAACACAUGCAAGUCGAACGAGUGGCGGACGGGUGAGUAAUGUCUGGGAAACUGCCUGAUGGAGGGGGAUAACUACUGGAAACGGUAGCUAAUACCGCAUACCAUCGGAUGUGCCCAGAUGGGAUUAGCUAGUAGGUGGGGUAAAGGCUCACCUAGGCGACGAUCCCUAGCUGGUCUGAGAGGAUGACCAGCCACCAUGGAACGGAUACAGUGUCCAGACUCGUAUGGGAGGAAGCAGGGGGGAAUAUUGCAAAAUGUGCGCAAGCCUGAUGCAGGCAUGCCGCGUGGAUGAAGAAGGCCGUCGGGUUGUAAAGUACUUUCAGCGGGGAGGCGUUACCCGAAGAAGAAGCACCGGCUAACUCCGUGCCAGCCGCCGCGGUAAUAC